GAAAAAAAUAAAUUUUCGGGCGAAGAGAUCAAAAUAAACAUGAAACUCUUAACUUUCUUAUUUAGAAAUAAAAUUCUAAAUUUGUAUGUUUCUAAAUUGGUAUGAAAUUUUCAUUAGACAGAAUUAAACAUAGAUCAACUUAUGAUUAUAAGUGACUACUAAAGUACAAGGUUUCUCGACCCAAGUUGAGAGAGAACCAAUGGACCAUGCAUCUUUAACUAGCUUACUCCAACUAUUAUCUAACUCCUGAAUGACACAAUCAAAAGGAUCGCCUUAACACCUCUUCAUGCUACAAGGAGCUAAGCUGGAACUUGAAACAUGAUGGCUAGUGUUGAGCGAGAAACCCAUGACGAACCAAAUGUCCGCAGUCUAAUAGUAGCAAACACAAUGAAACUUUGUAUGAUGCUUCCAGAUCAUCAGUGAAAUUGCUUGAAACUCAGCUCACACCUACACACAUGCACAAUCAUUAUGCAUGUCCAAAUUAUUUACACUCAUGUCACCUACACAAAUGCACAAUCAUUAUGCAUGUCCAAACUAUUUACACUCAAGCCGACCAAAUCAACAAUAGUGACAUCCUAUACUAUUUGAAACAUACCAUUCUUAUUACUAUCAACAUCAACUGUGGUACCCUUGCUAACCAGCCCCGUAAAACCCUCAAUCCGGCAACACUAAUCAAUGCAAAAAAUAGGCAUCGUUACCCAUAAUUAAAUACAAAGAAAAAUACUGAAAUUUUAAAACAUGUAUAAUCUAAUAGCAUCAGUAAGAACGGCUACUGCAUUACAUACCAUCUCCAUAGCACAUUAUGCUGUCAUGACGCUCCAAUUAAGCCUAAAACACACAAAAUUUUACUUCUUAGAUCCAGACUGAUAAGAUAUCAGCUUUAAUAGAUGUUUUGGAUAAUAUAAUUAUGAGAAAUGAGACUGAGGCACGUCGAGUAUCCCAAUACAUAGUAGAUAGUGAUGUGAUUUUAAUGAAAAAUAAUAUAGCAAAUACUCAAUUUUGACCAUGGAUGAAUUGUAUAAUACAUGAAUAGAUGAUUAAGGGGUUGGGGCAUGACAAGUAUAUUGAUACUUAGUAGAGUGUUUCUUGGUUAAUGAAUUGUAGUAAAAAUUAUAUGAAAUAAAAAAUUUGAAAUAAUCGAAUUUGUUCAAGGAACAAACAUCAAAUCUAAAAAUGUGAGUUACAUAUCAUACCUAAAUAACUUUUCACUAGAAGAAGAGAUAAAACUUAUAUCGCAUACCUAAUUCCGCAAUGUGAUUGUCAUUCGUUUCUUCUUCCAUUCAAAAGAGCAAAUAAAUUAUUUAGCCCCAAGUACGAAGCACACCAGCGACAAUGUUUGAAUGGAGAAAGCGUUCUUUGAUGAAUAUGAAUUAGGAGAUGGGUAUUUAUAUAAAAUCAAAUUCUAUUUUAAGAUUUCAAUCCUUGUUAAAUAUUGUAAUAAGCACUAAAUUCGUGAAUAAAUUUUAUAUUUGAAAUUUUCUAAACAUUGAUGUGAGCGUUUCAAAUUUAUUAUUUAUGAAAUUACUGAAAUAUUCUUAAUGAUCAAAGUACAAGGUUUCUCAAACCAAAUUAAGAGAGAACGAUAUAUAUUGUUUUUAAUUAAUUAAGAUAACACAACCUAAAUUAGAAAAAUAAAUAAAUGUGUUCACAAAUUGUUGCAACUAGAUCAAAUCGGAAACCUUUUAAUCGUCAAUAAACUAUUUCUCUUGGUGUGUUUUCCUUUACGUGUUUGGGACGUCAAGCUUGUGAGUGUUUGGUUGCGUGUUGCUUGCUCUGAAUUCUCUAUAUAGUUUGCCUUCCAAGGUUAUAUUUUGAAGCAAUAAUUUUCUUUAACUAUAUAGUUUGCCUUCCUAGGUCAUAUUUUGAAGCAGUAGUUUUCUUUAAUAUACAUACAACCAUUUAGAUAAAAAAAUAAACGUCAAUAUAUUAUUUUACCUAAUGAGCUACAUUACUUAGAUAGAAUCAUAUAUCUCAUUUUAUAUCAUACCACUGUUCUUUAUAUUUUUUAAAGGUGUACUCUAUGCACGAUACAUAAAGUUUCACACAUAAAAUAAUAAUAAAAAUAAAAGGAGAAAAUUGAAAAACUUUAAAAAUAAUAUAAAAGUUAUUUCUCACUCUAUACUGUCACACCUUUCAGUGGAUUACUCUCUCGCCGCGCAUGUUUUUGUGAAAUUUAUGGCACAACCAUCCUCGCUGGUAACUUCCUCCAACGACUUCCCCACCACUUUCGUAAACAUAAAAGUUGAAAUAAAACCCAAAAUACAUUUGUAAAAGCCAAAAACCAUCAAGAUGUACUUAAUCCUACUCACCUUCUUAUCCAAUGUGUAAGACUACAAAACAAAACCAGCCACAAUCAACCUGACUUUUCUUGCAACGGCACUCAAUGCAUGACACGUUGACCUCAGUCGGGCCAGGAAAAGCUCCCCGGGCCAGAUGAAAGUUGUCGUAUUGGGCCCAAAGUUCCCAAAGACGAACCAAAGUUCAGAUAACACGGUGAACAAUCUCUUGGUAAUAUGCCACAAAUACUCGUACUUAAUUCCCAUAACCAACAAAAACGUCAAUAUCAUGAAAAAUCCCAUUAACUGAAUCACGUAUUAACCCAACUUCUCGAUGAACGUGAUUUUGAACUAACAUCCGGGGAAAGUAUCUAAUAAUGCAACGACGAACAUGGCGCAUUAGGAGAUCAACAGAGGAAACGUGACAAGAAAAUUAUGGGAUCUUUUGAACAACUCAAAAGAGGUUCUCAACAUUGUUUAGCCACAUAAGGAGUUUAGUCGUACAAUUUCUGCUAAAUUUAGUUAUUCAAUAAAUUAUUAGUAGCAAAAUGAAACUUUUAAAAGACUUGUGGAUUUGGAAUACCUUCAAAGUCCAGGAGAAGAAGACAACUUGUCUGGCAACUGACAAUGGUUUAUUGGGAGUCCUACCAAUAACAGACCAAUGGAAAAUUUUAAUGUCUAGUCAGGGAAUGAAAAACAACCGUUGCUAAGAAAGAUUGAUAGAGUGAAGAACUCAAAUCUAUAAACUUAAAUGGUAUAUGUAACAUAGUGGAACAAGUAUGAAGUGAAUGAAGAAAAUUAGGAUUUUAAUGGGAGGAAUGCAGGAAAGAAUAGUGUUUGCUGUUAUAUCUCUGUUGUUACAUUCCCUUAUUUUUCAUCCACAUCACCGUGCUUCUACACUAACAACAGCUCAACAAUGAGUUCGAUUGUUCAGGAUCCACCGAAUUUGGGGUUCGGAUCGAGUGGACAAUGGUGAAUCAAGCAAUAGCAUGUAGUUUUUUGUCGUUGCCAUUUAUCAACAUGUGAAGAGACCACCAUGCAAAAUUGACUCUGAUUUUUUGUGGGGUUUUUUUUUUCAGCUCUACUAUAAUAAGAUGUACUUAAAGAACACAACACAAAUCUACGAAUUGGGGUUGUUUAUUACAAAACUCAGAAUUCGGUACGGGGAACGAUUUUCUACUUCAUUUCUUCUUUUUUGAUCAUUUGAUUCAUUAAGAAUGUUAUUCACUCCAUUUAUCAGUUUGCGAAACGUGUACAAUUCUUAAAAACUGAGUACAUGUCAAAAACCUAAUACAAAACAUUGUCACGUAAAGAUUUCAAAAACAUAAUUCCAACAAAGAUGGUCUAGUGGGCGAAUUUUGUUUUUGGAAUCUUAACUCUAGUGAGAGGAAAAAACCUGCUUGAAAAAUUUAGCUCGACAUAAAUGGUUUGGCCAAUGGAAUUUCUAUUUGAUCAUAAAAAAGUUUGCAUUUGCUCCUUUUAAGACAAGGGUAUUGAGUGGAAAUUUUAAUUGAAAAGAUAUGGAUAUUAUAUUCUUGUUAGAGAUGGAUUUAUAUUUUCAUAUGAAAAAAAUAAAUUUUCGGGCGAAGAGAUCAAAAUAAACAUGAAACUCUUAACUUUCUUAUUUAGAAAUAAAAUUCUAAAUUUGUAUGAAAUUUUUAGAGACAGAAUUAAACAUAGAUUAACUUAUGAUUGUAAGUGACUACUAAAGUACAAGGUUUCUCGACCCAAGUUGAGAGAGAACCAAUGGACCAUGCAUCUUUAAUUAGCUUACAACAACUAUUAUCUAACUCCGGAAUGACACAAUCAAAAGGAUCGC
rnacentral:lncRNA from 1 species